rnacentral:rRNA from 1 species
UGGUCAAGUUAUUAAGGGUGCAGGGCGGAUGCCUUGGCACUAGGAGCCGAUGAAGGACGUGAUAAGCUGCGAUAAGCUUCGGGGAGUUGCACGUAAACUUUGAUCCGAAGAUUUCCGAAUGAGGAAACUCACUUAGAGUAAUGUCUAAGUAUCAUUAAGUGAAUACAUAGCUUAAUGAGGGGAACUCAGGGAACUGAAACAUCUAAGUACCUGAAGGAAGAGAAAGAAAUUCGAUUCCGUAAGUAGCGGCGAGCGAACGCGGAUUAGCCCAAACCAAUAAAGUUUUCUUUAUUGGGGUUGCGGACAUAUCAUAACGAAGAGGUAUCGUAAUUGAAGAGGUUUGGAAAGACCCACCACAGAAGGUAAUAGUCCUGUAUGUUAAACGAGAAGACUUCAGAUAUGAUCCAGAGUACCACGGGACACGUGAAACCCUGUGGGAAGCAGGAGGGACCACCCUCCAAGGCUAAAUACUACCUAGUGACCGAUAGCGUAUAGUACCGUGAGGGAAAGGUGAAAAGAACCCCGGGAGGGGAGUGAAAUAGAACCUGAAACCCUGCACUUACAAGCUGUGGAAGCACAUUUCUUGUGUGACCGCGUACUUUUUGUAGAACGGGCCAACGAGUUACGUUAAGUAGCAAGGUUAAGCACUUAAGGUGUGGAGCCGUAGCGAAAGCGAGUUUUAACUGAGCGUUCAGUUACUUGACGUAGACCCGAAACCGGGCGACCUACCCAUGAGCAGGAUGAAGCGAAAGUAAAAUUUCGUGGAGGUCCGAACCCACGAGCGUUGAAAAGCUCGGGGAUGACUUGUGGGUAGCGGUGAAAUUCCAAUCGAGCCCGGAGAUAGCUGGUUCUCCCCGAAAUAGCUUUAGGGCUAGCCUCAAGGUGAGAGAUACGGAGGUAGAGCACUGAAUGUCCUAGGGGGUAUUGCACCUACCGAAGACUAUCAAACUCCGAAUGCCGUCAUCUUAUACUUGGGAGUCAGACUGUGGGUGAUAAGAUUCAUAGUCGAAAGGGCAACAGCCCAGAUCGUCAGCUAAGGUCCCUAAAUGUAAGUUAAGUGGUAAAGGAUGUGGGAUUGCACAGACAACCAGGAUGUUGGCUUAGAAGCAGCCACUCAUUCAAAGAGUGCGUAAUAGCUCACUGGUCGAGUGAUCCUGCGCCGAAGAUUUCCGGGGCUAAAACUUACUACCGAAGCUACGGCAUCAGUAAUGAUGGGUAGGGGAGCUUCCCAUACGGGUUGAAGCAUGACCGUAAGGACAUGUGGACAGUAUGGGAGUGAGAAUGUUGGCAUGAGUAGCGAGAUGUGGGUGAGAAUCCCACAGGCCGUAAACCCAAGGUUUCCAGGGGAAGGUUCGUCCGCCCUGGGUUAGUCGGGACCUAAGCUGAGGCCGAAAGGCGUAGGUGAUGGACAACAGGUUGAUAUUCCUGUACUACCGAUAACCAUUUGAGAGAAGGGAUGACACAGUAGGAUAAGCUAAGCACACUGUUGGUUAUGUGUGCCCAAGCAUUGAGGCAGUCAAAGUAGGCAAAUCCGCUUUGAUAAUGCUGGGAUGUGAUGGGGAGCGAAAUUUAGUAGCGAAGUAGCUGAUUUCACACUGUCAAGAAAAGUCUCUAUCGAGGUUAAAGGUACCCGUACCGCAAACCGACACAGGUGGGUGAGGAGAGUAUCCUAAGGCCAGCGAGAGAACUGUUGUUAAGGAACUCGGCAAAAUGACCCCGUAACUUAGGGAUAAGGGGUGCCACCAUCAGGUGGCCGCAGAGAAUAGGCCCAAGCGACUGUUUACCAAAAACAUAGGUUUCUGCUAAGUCGCAAGACGAUGUAUAGGAGCUGACGCCUGCCCGGUGCUGGAAGGUUAAGGGGAUCUGUUAGAGCAAUCGAAGCAGUGAACUUAAGCCCCAGUAAACGGCGGCCGUAACUAUAACGGUCCUAAGGUAGCGAAAUUCCUUGUCGGGUAAGUUCCGACCCGCACGAAAGGCGUAACGAUUUGGGCACUGUCUCAACAACAGACUCGGUGAAAUUGUAAUUCCGGUGAAGAUGCCGGAUACCUGCGACAGGACGGAAAGACCCCAUGGAGCUUUACUGUAGCUUGACAUUGGGUCUUGGUACUACAUGUACAGGAUAGGUGGGAGGCUUUGAAACCAGGACGCCAGUUUUGGCGGAGCCAUCCUUGGGAUACCACCCUUGUAGUACUGGGACUCUAACCAUAGGCCAUGAAUCUGGUCUUGGGACACUGUCAGGUGGGCAGUUUGACUGGGGCGGUCGCCUCCCAAAAGGUAACGGAGGCGCUCAAAGGUUCUCUCAGUACGGUCGGAAAUCGUACGUAGAGUGUAAAGGCAAAAGAGAGCUUGAUUGCAAGACAUACAGGUCGAGCAAGGAUGAAAAUCGGACUUAGUGAUCCGGUGGUUCUGCGUGGAAGGGCCAUCGCUCAACGGAUAAAAGCUACCCUGGGGAUAACAGGCUUAUCUCCCCCAAGAGUCCACAUCGACGGGGAGGUUUGGCACCUCGAUGUCGGCUCAUCACAUCCUGGGGCUGUAGUAGGUCCCAAGGGUUGGGCUGUUCGCCCAUUAAAGUGGUACGCGAGCUGGGUUCAGAACGUCGUGAGACAGUUCGGUCCCUAUCCGUCGCAGGCGUAGGAAAUUUGAGAAGACCUGUCCUUAGUACGAGAGGACCGGGAUGGACGUACCUCUGGUGUACCAGUUGUUCUGCCAAGGGCAUGGCUGGGUAGCUAUGUACGGAAUGGAUAAGCGCUGAAAGCAUCUAAGCGCGAAGCCAACUUCAAGAUAAGAUUUCCCACCGCAAGGGUAAGACCCCAGAAAGACUAUCUGGUUGAUAGGUCGAAGGUGUAAGUGCAGCAAUGUAUUUAGCUUAUCGAUACUAAUAGGUCGAGGACUUGACCAAU